GACGAACGCUGGCGGCGUGCCUAACACAUGCAAGUCGAACGGAAAGGCCCUGAGUUUGUGCGGUGCUCGAGGGGGGAACGCGGGAGUAACACGUGAGUAACCUGCCCUUGUCUUUGGGAGAACAUCAGGAAACUGGGGCUAAUAUAGGAUAGGAGAUCAUGCAGCAGGGUGGGGGUUGGAAAGUUUCGGCCUUUGGGGAUGGACUAGCGGGUUACGAGCUUGUUGGUGGGGUAGGUGCUUACCAAGGCUUUGACUGGUAGCCGGCCUGAGAGAGUGGCCGGCCACAUGGCGCCUGCGAUACGGCCCAGACGCCUACGGGAGGCAGCAGUGGGGAAUAUUGCCCAAUGGGCGGACGCCUGUUGCGACGGCCCCGCGUUCGGAAUGACGGCCUUCGGGUUGUAAACCGCUUUCGCCUGUGACGAAGCGUGAGUGACGGUAAUGGGUAAAGAAGCACCGGCUAACUACGUG
rnacentral:rRNA from 1 species